CUUCCUCAAGGCCUAGGUUGGAAGUGGAUUCCCAUUUGGUGGAGCGAGUCAUGCUCUGGGACAGAUUCCUCUAACUUGCCAGAAAUGUAAGCAUUUUAUUUGUUUAGAGCUGUAUAGCUGCACCAAGAUCUCAAGGCCCUUGAGAUACAUGGAAGCAGAGCUUUGCAAGGGGAUGACUGUGAUGAUCAUUUUUGGACCUGGGUGCUGAUGUCAGCUUUUUUUUUUUUCUUUUUCUUUUGCACAACGCAAGUACAAUCCCAAUGUACAGGCCUGUGACAUCACCAAAAAAGAUUACGUCCUAUGAUACAAAAAUGAUAACGAUAUAAUGGUUCCACUCAUGUGAUUGCUGGCAAUGAACUCUUCUUGUCCUAUCCCCUCACAUAUUUCUGGGAGACCCCAAAGAGGUGUAAUUCGUGCUCCGUGCUUUCCUCGGCAGCCUUCCUCUACAUGGUGACUCAGGGAUCCAGGAAUUUUCCAUAGAGGGACAUGGGAAACAAAUGGCCCCAGAAGUUACCACAAGGAAAGGGUAAAGCUGUAUGGGCAGACAAAUCCCAAGCCCUGCAGAAGUGCUGUGCUGAGAGUGCUGGGGCAGCCCUACGGAAGGAGGCUGGGAGUGGGUACCCCACCACCAG
ensembl:lncRNA